rnacentral:pre_miRNA from 1 species
ACAACAUUCGGAGCAUCGGUCUACCGAGCAAUUUAUCCGCUCGGUGGGAAAUCUUCCCUUCGUCUU